CCCAGGGGGGUCUGGGGGUGAUUCCCGAUCCCUGAUGGGAUCCCGGGGAAGGUUUGGAGGCGAUUCCCGAUCCCUGAUGGGAUCCCAGGGGGGUCUGGGGGCGAUUCCCGAUCCCUGAUGGGAUCCCGGGGAAGGCUUUUUGGCGAUUCCCGCUUUUCCCGGGUACCGAGGCCACGAAGAGAUCCCCGAUCUUCUC